AACAAUAGCAACGUAGCAGUAGCAGAGCACAGGGGCAGAAUGGUCAUCACGGGGAAACGGGCCCAGCGCAGCAGCUAGCAUCCAUCGAUCGGUGAAUCGGCAAGCAAAGCGCAGGCCGCAGAUAAAUUCCUUCCUUCUCUUGUGCUCUUGGCAUCUCGUCCUCUCUAGCUAUCUUCUUGCUUCCUAUAUUCACAAGGUAGGUCGUCGAUCAGAGGGGGUGUGUGUGGCAGCUUAAUUAUUGGACGACGACAGGAGAGAUCGAUCGAGCAUUUGCAAUUAAUGGCGGCCAUGGGCAUGAAGAAGGGUGUGCUGAUGCUGGCUCUCGGGCUCGCGAUGGCCGUUACCUCGUCGGCCGUCGUCUACAAGGUCGGCGACGCCUCUGGGUGGACGAUCCUCGGCAACGUCAACUACACCGACUGGACUUCCAAGCAGAACUUCCGUGUCGGAGACACCAUAGAGUUCACGUACCCCCCGGGCAUCCACAACGUGCUGGAGGUGAACAAGGCCGACUACCACAGCUGCACCAACUCCACGCCGAUCGCCACGCACACCUCCGGCGACGACAAGAUCGUCAUCAAGAGCCCCGGCCACCGCUUCUUCAUCUGCGGCGUGCCCGGCCACUGCGCCGCGGGACAGAAGCUCAGCAUCCGCGUCCUCAAGACGCGCUCCUCUGACGCCCCUUCCCCUGCGCCCGCCGCGCGCUCAGCCUCGGCGGCGUCGCCCAGCCCCAGCGGCAGCACCAGCACCGAUCCGAGCGGCGCCGGCGCCUCGGCGUCGCCGCCUGCGUCGUCCACGGACAGCACGCCCGACGCGACGACCACCACCGCGCCCGCGCCCGACGCCAAUGGCGCGGGGGUCAGUGCAGGCCACCGGGCCGUCGUCGCUGCCAUGGCACUGGCGGCGGCCGCCUCCAUGGCGAUGCUGUACUAGAUCACCAAGCACUCCUCACCCCAAGUGGCCUGGAUGCAUGAAGGACAACACUGCGAAUAUCUGCCAACAUUGACUAUAGUCUACUACUUCGAAUAACACAUGAUGUCAACUCGUGGGAAUGAAAUCGCUAGUGUCUUGAGCAUGGUCCCUCGGCAGGGUUAUCAGGACUGGAGCCUUGCUGACGAGGAACUAUUCUCAUGCAUGCAUUCUUUGUAUAGUAUCUGAAGUUUACUUCAAAAAAAUAAUGUUAUUGAAGAAUAUGUAACAUGUCUCUUCUAUAAAAGAGAAUCUAGUUAGAGAUUGUAUGCUAUGUAGAGAUUGUAAUAAAAUUAUUUUUGAGUCUAAUAAGUAUGUACUAUCAAAGUAUGUGACACUUGAUGAUAAAGGCUAUAAUUGUGUAGGCUUAUUUCGCUUAUUUUUGCAUGAUGA